CAGCAGCCACGGGAAUACGAAGGGGGCUAGCGUUGCUCGGAAUUACUGGGCGUAAAGGGCGCGUAGGCGGACUGAUAAGUCAGGGGUGAAAUCCCAAGGCUCAACCUUGGAACUGCCUUUGAUACUGUUUGUCUUGAGUUCGAGAGAGGUAAGUGGAACUGCGAGUGUAGAGGUGAAAUUCGUAGAUAUUCGCAAGAACACCAGUGGCGAAGGCGGCUUACUGGCUCGAAACUGACGCUGAGGCGCGAAAGCGUGGGGAGCAAACAGGAUUAGAUACCCCCGUAGUCCCUGUCUCUUAUAC
rnacentral:rRNA from 1 species